GUGGGGAAUCUUGCGCAAUGGGCGAAAGCCUGACGCAGCCAUGCCGCGUGAAUGAUGAAGGUCUUAGGAUUGUAAAAUUCUUUCACCGGGGACGAUAAUGACGGUACCCGGAGAAGAAGCUCCGGCUAACUUCGUGCCAGCAGCCGCGGUAAUACGAAGGGGGCUAGCGUUGCUCGGAAUUACUGGGCGUAAAGGGCGCGUAGGCGGACAGCUUAGUCAGAGGUGAAAGCCCAGGGCUCAACCUUGGAAUUGCCUUUGAUACUGGCUGGCUUGAGUGUGGGAGAGGUGAGUGGAACUCCGAGUGUAGAGGUGAAAUUCGUAGAUAUUCGGAAGAACACCAGUGGCGAAGGCGACUCACUGGCCCAAUACUGACGCUGAGGCGCGAAAGCGUGGGGAGCAAACAUGAUUAGAAACCCCGGUAGUCC
rnacentral:rRNA from 1 species